ACGAAGGGGGCUAGCGUUGUUCGGAUUUACUGGGCGUAAAGCGCGUGUAGGCGGACUUGUAAGUUGGGGGUGAAAUCCCGAGGCUCAACCUCGGAACUGCCUCCAAAACUACAAGUCUGGAGCAAGAUAGAGGCAAGUGGAAUUGCGAGUGUAGAGGUGAAAUUCGUAGAUAUUCGCAAGAACACCAGUGGCGAAGGCGGCUUACUGGUCCGGUUCUGACGCUGAGGCGCGUAAGCGUGGGGAGCAAACAGGA
rnacentral:rRNA from 1 species